ACUUACACUUCGAAUUGGACCUCGAGGUACUGUUGGAGUUUGAGUUGCUCGUUGAGGUUUGAGAUUGAGGAUUCGUUAAGUUGUUGAAGACGCAGCUUGGACGAGAGGGGAAAAUCCUGCAGGUGGUAGAGACCGUGAGCAGGACAUUUAAGGUGAGGAGCAGGAGGCUCGUUAGUGGUUCCACAGAGUGCAAAGUGUGGUGUGAGAGUGUUGGUGAGUGUUAGACUUCCGCUGUGUGAAAUGAACUCUGAGGAGCAGAUUUUGUAAUAUAAUGAUUGUUCAU